UGAGUUCGAGGCCAGCCAGGGCUACACA
rnacentral:piRNA from 2 species